ACUCGUGACUUAACUUGGACUUGAGCCUUAUGACUCGACCUGACUUGAUACCCUCCCCAAACCCAAAUAUAAAAAACGAUACUAUUAAAAAAAGUGCGCAGCGCAUCAACUCUUCAUUUAACGGAUUACAGUGUGAAUCGGACAGCAGCCAAUCAAGUUGUGUGUGGCAGUGCAGAGGAACGCCAGCGGGUGAAUUCAGAUGGAGCCCUUGGAAUGAUGAUACCCAAAAGUAUUAUUUUCGGGUAUAAAGACGACGCUGUAUCAACAAAAUACGGAUUGCAAUUUGCAAAACAUGCGGGAAGAAAAUUACAGACGGAGGUGCAACAAUUUCCAACUUUGUUCGACAUUUGUAGCUGCACAAAGAACGGUUUUCUACAUUGUCAAGGCUUGCAGUGUGCUCCACAACAUUGCAAUCAAAAAUGUCAUUCCACUGAAUGACCAACUGAGACCUGAUGAGCCCAUGCCUGACAGGGAGUGUUUCCCACCACCCAUAGGCCUGGCACUGAGGACCAGAGUGAAUAUCAUACACCGGGUUUAGGACUGCAUCACAGGCUGACUACAUUGCUCACGUCACGUACGUGUAGCAAAAUAAAUUUAGAAAUCUAUAUUAUUCAAUUAUUGCACCUACACUGCUCGCGCGUGCCAAUGAGUGUCUGCAUUGCCAAGGGCUAAAAUAGAAGUCAGUUCUAUUUGUGACGCAGAUCGCGCCGCAAAUCCUGCCUCUC